rnacentral:rRNA from 1 species
UACGAAGGGGGCUAGCGUUGUUCGGAAUCACUGGGCGUAAAGGGCGCGUAGGCGGCCGAUCAAGUCGGGGGUGAAAGCCUGUGGCUCAACCACAGAAUUGCCUUCGAUACUGUUUGGCUUGAGACCGGAAGAGGUAAGUGGAACUGCGAGUGUAGAGGUGAAAUUCGUAGAUAUUCGCAGGAACACCAGUGGCGAAGGCGGCUUACUGGUCCGGUUC